CCGCACAAGCGGUGGAGCAUGUGUUUAAUUCGAAGCAACGCGAAGAACCUUACCAGGCCUUGACAUGCAGAGAACUUUCCAGAGAUGGAUUGGUGCCUUCGGGAACUCUGACACAGGUGCUGCAUGGCUGUCGUCAGCUCGUGUCGUGAGAUGUUGGGUUAAGUCCCGCAACGAGCGCAACCCUUGCCUUUAGUUGCCAGCAGCUCGGCUGGGCACUCUAAAGGGACUGCCGGUGUUAAACCGGAGGAAGGUGGGGAUGACGUCAAGUCCUCAUGGCCUUUAUGGCCUGGGCUACACACGUGCUACAAUGGUCGGUACAAAGGGUUGCCAAGCCGCGAGGUGGAGCUAAUCCCAUAAAACCGAUCGUAGUCCGGAUCGCAGUCUGCAACUCGACUGCGUGAAGUCGGAAUCGCUAGUAAUCGUGAAUCAGAAUGUCACGGUGAAUACGUUCCCGGGCCUU
rnacentral:rRNA from 1 species